rnacentral:rRNA from 1 species
CCUACGGGCGGCAGCAGUAGGGAAUUUUGCGCAAUGGGGGAAACCCUGACGCAGCAACGCCGCGUGAUCGAUGAAGCCCUUCGGGGUGUAAAGAUCUGUUAGUGGGGACGAAACCUGCCGGUACCCACAGAGGAAGCACCGGCUAACCCCGUCCCAGCAGCCGCGGUAAUAGGGGGGGUGCAAGCGUUGUCCGGAAGCAUUGGGCGUAAAGAGUGCGUAGGUGGCACGGUAAGUCUGAUGUGAAAGUCGGAGGCUCAACUUCCGUAGGGCACUGGAUACUGGCGCGCUGGAGUGCGGGAGAGGUAGGGGGAAUUCCUGGUGUAGCGGUGAAAUGCGUAGAUAUCAGGAGGAACAUCGGUGGCGAAGGCGCUUUGCUGGGCCGUAAUUGACGCUGAGGAACGAAAGCCGGGGGAGCAAAUAGGAUUAGAUACCCCUGUAGUC